GACGGAGGAUGCAAGCGUUAUCCGGAUUCAUUGGGUUUAAAGGGAGCGUAGGUGGCCUUAUAAGUCAGUGGUGAAAUCUCUGGGCUUAACCCAGAAAUUGCCAUUGAUACUGUAGGGCUUGAGUAUAGUUGCCGUUGGCGGAAUAUGACAUGUAGUGGUGAAAUACAUAGAGAUGUCAUAGAACACCGAUUGCGAAGGCAGCUGACGAAACUGUAACUGACACUGAGGCUCGAAAGUGCGGGGAUCAAACAGG
rnacentral:rRNA from 1 species